CAGCAGCCGCGGUAAAACGAAGGGGGCUAGCGUUGCUCGGAAUGACUGGGCGUAAAGGGCGCGUAGGCGGCGAUCAAAGUCAGGCGUGAAAUUCCUGGGCUCAACCUGGGGGCUGCGCUUGAUACUUGGUUGCUUGAGUGGGGAAGAGGGUCGUGGAAUUCCCAGUGUAGAGGUGAAAUUCGUAGAUAUUGGGAAGAACACCGGUGGCGAAGGCGGCGACCUGGUCCUUGACUGACGCUGAGGCGCGAAAGCGUGGGGAGCAAACAGGAUUAGAUACCCCAGUAGUCCCUGUCUCUUAUAA
rnacentral:rRNA from 1 species